UACAGAGAGUGCAAGCGUUAAUCGGAAUUACUGGGCGUAAAGCGCACGUAGGUGGAGUUUUAAGUCGGAUGUGAAAGCCCUGGGCUUAACCUGGGAAUUGCAUUCGAUACUGAAACUCUAGAGUAUAGUAGAGGGAAGUGGAAUUUCAGGUGUAGCGGUGAAAUGCGUAGAUAUCUGAAGGAACAUCAGUGGCGAAAGCGGCUUCCUGGACUAAUACUGACACUGAGGUGCGAAAGCGUGGGGAGCAAACAGG
rnacentral:misc_RNA from 1 species